rnacentral:rRNA from 1 species
CGUUCCCGGGCCUUGUACACACCGCCCGUCACACCAUGGGAGUUGGUUUUACCUGAAGACGGUGUGCCAACCGUAAGGGGGCAGCCGGCCACGGUAAGGUCAGCGACUGGGGUG